AUGCAGCAUGCCGCGUGUAUGAAGAAGGCCUUCGGGUUGUGAAGUUCUUUUCCCGGGGAGGAAGGCGGACGGUUCCAGCCUCUACGCUUGACCUUACCCUGAGAAAACACCCCCGGUAAUUCCGUGCCAGCAGCCGCGGUAAU
rnacentral:rRNA from 1 species